AUACGGAGGAUGCGAGCGUUAUCCGGAUUUAUUGGGUUUAAAGGGAGCGCAGGCGGAGAUGCAAGCGUGACGUCAAAUUUCGGGGCUCAACCCCGUCUCGCGUCGCGAACUGCGUCCCUUGGUUGCGGGAAGGGGAGGCGGAACUCGUGGUGUAGCGGUGAAAUGCAUAGAUAUCACGAAGAACUCCGAUCGCGAAGGCAGCCUUCCGGCCCGUCAACGACGCUCAUGCUCGAAGGUGCGGGUAUCAAACAGGAUUAGAUACCCUGGUAGUCCGCACAGUAAACGAUGGACACCCGCGGUUUGGCCUGUAUGGCUGAGCCGCCAAGCGAAAGCGUUAAGUGUCCCACCUGGGGAGUACGCCGGCAACAGUGAAACUCAAAUGAAUUGACGGGG
rnacentral:rRNA from 1 species